rnacentral:tRNA from 1 species
UGGCUUAGUGGUAAAGUGUUUGGCUUUUGAACCAGUUAUCCCAGGUUCAAAUCCUGG